rnacentral:lncRNA from 1 species
GUAUUUUAUAAAAGGCUUUAAAUUUUUAAAUUUUAUGUACAAAAAUCUAGUAUGGUCUUUUCCUUUGGGUGGAUGUCUAGGAUGAUCCACUGGAGGAAGAUAACUUAAUACAACUUCCUUAUAUCCUUCAAGUACUGAUGGAAAACUCCUGGUCAUAUUUCUAAAUCAGACAGAUAGAUUUGAGCAAAUGCAGCAAGAGCAUGAACCCUGGUGAAAUUUUUCAACACAUAAUGCUGGGAGAACUGAGUAUCAACAUGCAGAGAAUGAAGUUGAACCCUUACUUCACACUAUGUGCAAAAAGUAACUCAUGUAGAUCAGUGACAUAAAGCAGGCGGCGAAUGCUUCUGUUUUUUGGAGGAGCUCCAGUUUUCACUUUCACCUUUGACAUCAUCUCCUGGCUUCCAGCACAGACUCUUCAGUUUCUGGCUUCUGGUGUAAACUCUUCAGCCUUCCAUUGCAGACACAUCAGCCUCCUGAUAUGGACUCGAAAGGGACAUUGCAGUGAGCUCCAGACCUUCGACUACAGAGCCAAGACUGCAGAAACACAAACACAGGCCUUCAUAAUUCUAUUGGCUGAACUACAACAUAAGCUUAACGCUCAGGCUCCAAAGUACCAGGGAUAGAACUGAGGACCUUGUGCUUUCGAGGCAGGUGGCGGUACCACUGAGCUAAAUCACUGGCCAUUUUUUUUUUUUCCAUUGUUUAUUGGUACAUUUUAGGUAUAAAAUACAGUUACAUUCAUCAUUGGGAUCUUGUAACUUUACAUGGUGUUCGUUGAUUCUUAUUUUUUUCUCCAUUCCCCUGCCCUCCCUUCACCCCCUCCACCCUUCCCUAUUUGCAAAGACUUUGUUUCCAUUUUUUUUUCUUUUCUCCUAUUUUUUCUUUUCCCUUCUUUCCUUUCUUUUUUUGGAGACAAGGUUUCACCAGGUAGUCCAGGCUGGCCUUGUGCAUCCCAGGCUGGACUUGUACUUACACUCUUCCUGCCUCAGCCUCUUGAGUGCUGGGAUUACAGUUGUGUGCCAUUCUGCUGAGCUCUACAUUGUGAUUUAAUACACUCAUGAAAUAUACUAUUUGAUAUGGUGAUGAUUUCUCAAUUAGUUUCAUAUUUGUAAAGCCAUAGGAAUGUAGUACGUAUUUAAUAUGAAGUUACACUUAAUAUAGACACCAUAUCAUAGUUACAAAAUCUAGGAGACUGAAAAUUCCUAACUUCCAUAUUGACAAAUUACCGACAAAUGUUUCAGACAAAUGGCCAAG